rnacentral:lncRNA from 1 species
AUGCGGGAGUUGAUCCAUUUGGGCGUGAAUGUGUGGGCGCGGGCCCAUGUGCGAGUGACCAUGUGCUUGAGUGGAGAAGUGCUUUGGUCCAUUUGCAAGGUGAGCUUGCAUGGGCUGGCGGGUCCACGCGAGGAGAGCUGCGCUGGUCCUUUGCGGAUUGGGCCGUGGCGUGAGCGUCCCGUGUGAAGUGAAUGGAGAAGGCGGGCCGUGCAGAGCGCGGGCCUGCGCGGGAGCUUGGUCCAUGAUUGUGUUGUCCAUGUGCGAAAAUGGCGGGAAUGGGCUGUCCAAGUGCUUAUUUUGAAUCCAACUUGGCAGGCUCGCUCUUUUUUACUCCAAAUAAGGCAGUUUUAGGGGGAUUUUCUCCAAAAUGUCCUUUUACACUAUUUUCUGCAAAAUAAUAUUAAAAGCAAUAAAUUAAGCAGAAAUCAUGUAAAUAUUUAUCAAUAAUAUUAGUAUAAAUUGGACUAAAUUAUGCUCUAUCAAAUACCCCCACACUUAGCCUUUUGCUUGUCCUCAAGCAAAUAAACAUAUUAAAUAGGCUUUCUUUGCUCUAGAUCCUUAUUUCCACUUAAGCUCUUACUCAAGACACCUAUUUUGAAGCAUUGCAGUGAAGAAUAUAUGCAUGAAAAUUACUCGCCUUCUUUCCUUGUUUCCCUUUACUCACCAUGGCUAGGAUUUGGUUUCCUUAAGAGAGACCAUACAUGCACAUUUUUGUUAAAGACUUUUUCUAGCUUUCAGAGUGACUUGCCCUUACCUUGAAGUACUUUAUUCAGGCUUUUGCACUUUAGAUCUUGGAAAUGUCACCAACCUAUUUUUGAUUGAAGGUUUAUAUUUUUCAGUUGAUCACCUGUCCAAGUGGCUACUAGCUUUGUUCAUAGUCUUUUGACCAUUGGAACAAUUUUUAAUUUGUGCUUUUGAGGUCUUUGCCUUUACUGAAUUUUCUUUCUCUCAAUGAUUUGGGCAAAUCAACACCAAUUGCUACAUCAAGUCACAUUAAGUUCAUUCACACAAUUUUCAAUUUAUUCUCAUCAAUUGAGGGUCAUCAAUAUAUUUUUCACCAUGGCAAACUCAAAGAUUCGAUUCAAAAGGCAAUUCUCAAAUAUGAAUAUAACUCACUGCAAUUGAUUCAACAUAAGUUUAAAGAGUCAUAACAUCAAUGGGGUCAUGGAAAGAAAAGCUCAUCCAACAUAGUCUAUAUGAUAAGUAAAGCAUCUCAAAAAAAACAGAAACAAAAAUAAUAAAAAAAAAACUGUGGCUAUUUGUGUGUUAUUGAAAGCAAAAAAAUGAAAAAUUUCAACUAAUGCAAGCAAACUAAAAAUCAAAGCAAAAAUAAACUCAAAAAGUAAAAAUUCAGAAAUAUGCACCCCCACACCUAAAUCAUGCAUUGUCCUCAAUGUAUAGGAAAUAUUAAAAUGCAAAAGAAACUGAGUACUCCCCUGGGUGUGGUGUGCAUGGUGCGAUCCACUUGAUCAAGGCUCAAGUAAUUGGAGAAGGGAAGAGAGUCCCAACUGUAUUGAGCAAAAAGUGUAGCACUCUUUUUGAUUUGGUCAUAGCCCAUCCUUCUUUUUCCAUGUACUCAUGAAGUAACAUGAUUAGCUUCUCCUCUUUCAGAUGAGGUGUGCCUCUAGCCCUUAUGUUUGCAUUUUUGAGCACUUCCAACUUCAAUUGAUAUUUCUCCAUGGGUGGCUGCAAUUUGGCAUUAAGUUCAGGCAAAACAAAUUCUACCUUAUCUGGAGGUUUGGGCAGGCAUUGAUCUGCAUGCUCCUUUGGUUUGGGCCAUUGGACUACCAUUUGUUCCUCCUGGGCAUGGACUAUUUGCAUUGGAAGGAUGAAAGGAGUUUCAGUUUCCUCCUUCUGCAUAGGACCUAACUGAGGUGGAAGACUGAUUUGUGUUGGAAGCUGAAAGGACGCGCCUGAGAGGAUUUCAGGUACUCCUUCUUGCGCAAGAUUGAUCUGCAAUGGAAGAAUGAAAGGAGUUUCAUGCGAUGGAAGCUGAAGAGGUGCAACUAGAAGAGUUGCAGGACUGUCCUGCGGUCCAAGCUGAGGUGGUUCAGUUGGAGUUCCUUCUGACUGCGCAAGAUUGAUCUGAAGAGGUGUGAUUGGCUCUCCUUUGUUUUGUGCGUGUUCGCAGUCCACCUGUUGGAUGUAACAGUUAGUUUCUUUCAGUUCUGGCUCUUUUUGGCUCUCUUCCCUGCAAGGAUCAUUGUUUAGUAUAUCAUCAUGAUUUGUAUAAAAAAUAUCUUUGCUCAAAUAAUCAAUGAUAUCUAAAUCAACAACAGGUUCUGUUUGAUCAGUUUGUUUGGGCAAACAAUUUUCUGGCUGUGUUUUUUCAGCAACUUGUACUUGCCAACUUUCAUCAUCAUCCCAUACAUCUUGAAGCUCUUCCUCUCUUCUUAACAUGGUUGCAUUCAAUGAGUUGUUCAAUUGAUCCUGUUGCUGUUGGAUACUCUGCAAAGUCUUCAUAAUCUCAUCAAGGUUGGAACUUUGAGGUUCUGGUUGGGCUUGAUAUCCUUGAUAAUCCUGGUAGUUGUUAGCCUCUGCAUAACUGAAGUCUGGAUAGUCUCUCCAACCUGGAUUGUAUGUGUUAUAGUAUGGAUCAUGUCUUGGCUGUUCAUAGAAUCCUUCAAAUGCAUGUACUUGUUGGUCCCUUGCAUAGCCAUAAUUUGGAUGGUCUCCCCAAUGUGGAUUGUAUGUGUUAUGGUAGGGAUCAUGUCUUGGCUGUCCAUAGGGUCCUUCAAAUGCAAGUGCUUGUUGGGCCAUUUGAUCCACUUCGUGUUGGAAACGUUGCAAAGCCUUUAAUUUCUCAUAAAGAUCAGUAUUGAAACCUUGAGGUAUUGGUUGGGCUUGUUCAGCUUGGCCUAUAACAAAAAUUCUCACAGCAGAGAUUAGUUUAGAAAGUUGAGAAUAGUAAACAGAUGUAUUUACCUUAGCCAUGAUUCAGAUCUGCGAUGGUGACCGUGCCUUUGGUGAAUUUUUUUUUUAUUUGAUCCUAAAAGAAAAACAAAUAAGUUAGAUCAACUCCCUAGCAACGGCGCCAAUUUUUGACUCGCGGUUGUCGAAGCUGGUCGAAAAUAACCUUUCUAGUUAUCAACAAUUUACAACUGCAGAUAGUGGUGAAAGGAUCGAAUCCACAGGGAAUUGAAAACUCACCUAUUUUCCUUAUCAAAACCAAUAAAAUAAAUUAAAACAAGAAUAAAUUGAAAAAAGAAUAAAGCUGAAAAUGAGAUAAACUGAAAUGAGAUAAAACUGACAACGGAAUAAAAAUAAAUUGCAGUAAAGUAAAAUGGGGGGUUUGAGAUUGAUUUGAUUAAUAAACUACUAAAAACAAUUAAAAUAAGCAAAUAAUAAAAUAAAAGAGAAAUAAAUAAUAAGAAAACUCUAGUUGAAGUAUUGGAUCCACUUUAGUCAUUGGGAUUGAUCACAGACACUUUGUUCUUUUGGGUUGAUUCAAUAGAUUAGUUAUGGGGAUGGAAGACGCUUCUCACCAACAUUAUCUCUCCUUAUGAUUAAACCAAUUAGGGAAUGUCCUCUAAUUAAUUACUAAUUAACAAAUUGUCAAGGAACGUUCUUGGACCUUAGGCAUCAAAACAAUUGUCAAUUGCAUUAAGAAAUAGAGAGAUCCAAUCCUAGCUACCCAAACGUAUGGAGAUAACGUUAGAUCAAACAAUUUCCUUGGGUUUUAUCCCAAGUGUUCUCAUGUAAGAAUAAUCCAAGCAAUUACGGACUUAAAUUAUUCAAACUAACAAAUAAUUAUUUUAAAAUAAAAAAUCAACGUAGAUUUCAAUAACAAAAUAAUAUGAGAAUUAAAUAUGAAAUUGCAUGAAUAUUGAAUUCCCAAAAUUAAACAAUAUUUGUUCAAGUCUCACAACCCAUUAAACAACUAAAACUUCAACCAAUAUUCAACUAGAUGAAAGAAAUUAGCCACUCAUUGGCUGAAUUAAAAAUAGAAAAAUAAAAUAAAAAAUAAAAUAAAAAAAGGAAAAAGAAAGAACCGAAGGAGCUGGCUUGUGGAAAUUGCCGAGAGAAGGAAUUCUCCAUUUCUUCGGCCACUGAAGGCUCUAUUUAUAAGUUCAGAGGAGCGCCCUAUUUUGGAAGAUUGCUGGCCACGUGCGCGAGAUGGCAUUGAAGCGGGUGAAGAGAAUGGGCUGUGUGCAGGAGUUACUGUCCCAUGUGCGCGAGUAAGGGCCAUGUGCAUGGCUUGGGCGUUGCUUGGUGAAGUGGAUGGUGGAGUGAAUUUGGCGGGGCCCAUGUGCAAGUGGGAAUGGUCAACGUGAAGAGACGUGCGGGAGUUGAUCCAUUUGGGCGUGAAUGUGUGGGCGCGGGCCCAUGUGCGAGUGACCAUGUGCUUGAGUGGAGAAGUGCUUUGGUCCAUUUGCAAGGUGAGCUUGCAUGGGCUGGCGGGUCCACGCGAGGAGAGCUGCGCUGGUCCUUUGCGGAUUGGGCCGUGGCGUGAGCGUCCCGUGUGAAGUGAAUGGAGAAGGCGGGCCGUGCAGAGCGCGGGCCUGCGCGGGAGCUUGGUCCAUGAUUGUGUUGUCCAUGUGCGAAAAUGGCG